GUGCCUUAUCAUAAACUUAUACCUGUUCUCGUAUGUUCACUGAAGUUAAGCAAUGUUGGGCCUGGUCAGUAGUUGGGAGGGUGACCACUUUGGAACACUGUGUGCUGUUGUAAGCU